rnacentral:rRNA from 1 species
UAUGGAAUUGUGUGCCCGCCGCCGCUGUCAUACGUCUGGAGCAAGCGUUAUCCGGAUUUCCUGGGUGUCAAGGGAUUUUCUGUGGCCAAGCAAGUCAGAAGUGAAAGCCCGGGGCUCCACCCCGGGACUGCUUUUGAAACUGCAGGGCUAGAGUGCAGGAGGGGCAAGUGGAAUUCCUAGUGUAGCGGUGAAAUGCGUAGAUAUUAGGAGGAACACCAGUGGCGAAGGCGGCUUGCUGGACUGUAACUGACACUGAGGCUCGAAAGCGUGGGGAGCAAACAGG